UACGUAGGUCGCAAGCGUUGUCCGGAUUUACUGGGCGUAAAGAGCGCGCAGGCGGCUGGUCAAGUCCGAUGUGAAAUCUCCCGGCUCAACUGGGAAACUGCAUCGGAAACUGAUCGGCUUGAAGAUGGGAGAGGGUAGUGGAAUUCCCGGUGUAGUGGUGAAAUGCGUAGAUAUCGGGAGGAACACCAGUGGCGAAGGCGACUUCCUGGCCUGUUCUUGACGCUGAGGCGCGAAAGCUAGGGGAGCAAACGGG
rnacentral:rRNA from 1 species